GACGAACGCUGGCGGCGUGCUUAACACAUGCAAGUCGAACGGAAAGGCCCUGCUUUUGUGGGGUGCUCGAGUGGCGAACGGGUGAGUAACACGUGAGUAACCUGCCCUUGACUUUGUGAUAACUUCAGGAAACUGGGGCUAAUACCGGAUAGGAGCUCCUGCUGCAUGGUGGGGGUUGGAAAGUUUCGGCGGUUGGGGAUGGACUCGCGGCUUAUCAGCUUGUUGGUGGGGUAGUGGCUUACCAAGGCUUUGACGGGUAGCCGGCCUGAGAGGGUGACCGGCCACAUUGGGACUGAGAUACGGCGCAGACUCCUACGGGAGGCAGCAGUGGGGAAUAUUGCACAAUGGGCGGAAGCCUGAUGCAGCAACGCCGCGUGCGGGAUGACGGCCUUCGGGUUGUAAACCGCUUUCGCCUGUGACGAAGCGUGAGUGACGGUAAUGGGUAAAGAAGCACCGGCUAACUACGUG
rnacentral:rRNA from 1 species